rnacentral:rRNA from 1 species
GGGGGGGUCCGGAGGGGGGAUGUAGAGAGCUUGCUCUUUGAUUCAGCGGCGGACGGGUGAGUUUUGCCUAGGAAUCUGCCUGAUAGUGGGGGACAACGUUUCGAAAGGAACGCUAAUACCGCAUACGUCCUACGGGAGAAAGCAGGGGACCUUCGGGCCUUGCGCUAUCAGAUGAGCCUAGGUCGGAUUAGCUAGUUGGUGAGGUAAUGGCUCACCAAGGCGACGAUCCGUAACUGGUCUGAGAGGAUGAUCAGUCACACUGGAACUGAGACACGGUCCAGACUCCUACGGGAGGCAGCAGUGGGGAAUUUUCCGCAAUGGGCGAAAGCCUGACGGAGCAAUACCAGGAGGGGGGAGGAAGGCCUGUGGGUUGUAAACCUCUUUUCUCAAGGAAGAAGACAGUGACGGUACUUGAGGAAUCAGCAUCGGCUAACUCCGUGCCAGCAGCCGCGGUAAUA